rnacentral:rRNA from 1 species
GACAGAGGGGGCAAGCGUUGCUCGGAAUUACUGGGCGUAAAGGGCGCGUAGGCGGGAUGGCAAGUCGGUCGUGAAAUCCCUCGGCUCAACUGAGGAUCGUCGAUCGAUACUGCCGUUCUUGAGGAUUGCAGAGGAGACCGGAAUUCCCGGUGUAGCGGUGAAAUGUGUAGAGAUCGGGAGGAACACCGGUGGCGAAGGCGGGUCUCUGGGCCGAUACUGACGCUGAGGAGCGAAAGCGUGGGGAGCGAACAGG